AUUGAACGCUGGCGGCAGGCCUAACACAUGCAAGUCGAACGAGUGGCGGACGGGUGAGUAAUUUCUGUGACACUGCCUGAUGGAGGGGGAUAACUACUGGAAACGGUAGCUAAUACCGCAUACCAUCAGAUGUUCCCAGAUGGAAUGGGCUAGUGGGUGGGGUAACGGCUCACCAAGGCCACGAUCCCUAGCUGGUCUGAGAGGAUGACCAGCAAAACUGGAACUGAGACACGGUCCAGACUCCUACGGGAGGCAGCAGUGGGGAAUAUUGCACAAUGGGCGCAAGCCUGAUGCAGCCAUGCCGCGUAUAUGAAGAAGGUCUUCGGGUUGUAAAGUACUUUCAGCGGGGAGGCGUUACCCGCAGAAGAAGCACCGGCUAACUCCGUGCCAGCAGCCGCGGUAAUAC
rnacentral:rRNA from 1 species